AGAGCUAACCCAGCAAAACACCAGCAGAGAAUCUAGGCCUCAGCUCUUUGUAUUACACACAUAAAAAGAUAAAAUCUCUGGGUAAAAAGCUGUAGAGUCUAAUGGUGGCUGCUGAAAAACAUGAGUAAUGCUUCACUAUUAAUUGUCAAGUAGUUUAUUUAAAAUGCUAGAUAUACAUUUGAUAAGUCUUCAGUGACUGCUUUAAAAGUAAACAGUAUCAGCUGUGGACCACCCGUUUAGAAAAAGUUGACUGAAAUUGUUAAAGAACAGGCACUAUAAAAAUUACAAUGUUUAUUGUUGCUAGCCGAACUAGACAUAUUUAACAUGGUUUUCUAGGCCUGUUGUAGUAGGUAUGACUUGGUUGCUUUUCCUGCUGACUGUAGUAGGCUUCUAGGAAGCUUAAAUUGCUUUAGCUUAGUUUGCUAGCCUAUUAAUGCAAAUCUAGCUCAUUUAAAGAAAAACUAAACAACAUCAUAUAUGUCUGCAUCUGGGAUUUGCAGCAGUUUAUCUAUCAGAUAGCAAUACACAAAGUUAAUCCCGUCUGAAGGAGGUGCCAGAACAUCAAUAAAUAAAAAUUACAAAUUGCCUAACGGUUCAGCUGACAGGCAGAACUGGUUUCCGUGUGGUGUUCCCAAUGUUCUGCAGCAGAGCUGGGCUGGGGGUAGACCCUUACGACGUUCCUCUGUAGACAGGACCUUUAAGAGCAAGCAUCAGCACUACAUAAUACUGUAGGAGAGGAAGUAGAGAACAAUGCUGUGUCCAACGGAAGCUGUGGCAAGAAUUUAUUCAAGGCGCAUUGUAAUUACUCAAGCUGGGAAUUUGGCCAGGACAUUGGGGUUAACACCCCUACUUCUUCAGAAGUGUCAUAGUUUAUUUUUUUUAAUGACUUUAAGUGAUGAGAAGCUUGGCUUUCUGUCUCAGCAGAAUGACAACACCUCUAGCAGUAUAAACUUCUUACAACACGAAGGUGCUGGUGCAGUAGUAACUCAGUGGAGUGAUGGGGCCUACUUCAGUAAUCAUUGCUAUAUAAAUACUAUCAGUAGAUAAGGAACGAUAAGAGUGUGAUUAGGGCAGUUUCAGCCACUGUAAUCACAGGCAUACCUUCCUUAGUCUUCAGUCCACACGCUGCUUUAGUCUGACCUUUUUUUAAGCAAACAAAUAUAAAUUGCAGAAUAAAUCAUGGAACCUGAAUUAAUGAAAUUUAGUUAUUAAUUAUAACUGUGGUUAUGAACUGCAUUUGUCACUGCUUCUGUUCUAGGGAACUUGUCAAGUAAGUGAAUGUAAUUGAUCCAAUUUUUUUAGAUUCUUUCAAGAAGCUAUUACGAAUCUGUUAUAUACUGAUUUAGAAACCAACUUUCACCUUGUUCUCUGCUUGUAAAGAUAAGUGGUUGUGUGUUUUAGUGUGUUGCUCGUUAUGAAAUGCACAAGUGAGGGAUUGUUUUGCUUUUACUAGCUCAUGAAACAUGACAUCAUUCCUAUAGCGUAGUUUAGGCCAUUAUUAUGGGUUACGAGGUUAUACAGGAAAAACAUGUUCUGGAGGAAGGUUGGUCAAAAAGAAGCGAGGUAGUCUUACAGAUUGUUACGAUCCGGUUUUGUAUCACCGGGUUAAAUAGCUCAGUACAUUCACUGGGAUGAAGAUACCACGUCAGGCAGUAUCCUUCUGACAGUUUGUUAGGCCAUAAUGACAAAAAUGAGGCAAUACUGACACUAUUACAUAACCCCAUUUGUAUUACACAAAACCAAUACUGCUUCACUCUUCUCCUGCUUUCUGUUAGACAAACAGAAUUGUUCUUUGCUGUGCACUUAUCCCUGUCCCGUGAGUCAAGGGAGUUGAGGUGUCCAUUAAGAAGUGGGGAAACAGAGGCACAAGUACUUACUACUGUCACAGGGGAAAUCAAUGUCAGGCAUAAACAGAAUCUCAGCCUGCUGACUGUCCCACUCUACCCUCUGGGCAGCCAGGCAAAAGUGGAAAAGUGGCUUGCUUGCAGUGUGACUCAGCAGCUCUUCCUUCCUCAGCAAUUGGCAAGCUGGGCAACUACAAAUAAUUGCCUGUAUGUCAUUUGCACCUGUGUCAGGUUACCAAGAAACUCCAGGUAGGCUUAUCUUCUGUUGGGGAAGGGUUCUGGAUGGACCUCUGCAAUGAUUUAGUUUCAGGACUUAUAAAAUGUGUUCAGGACUCUUUCUCUGGGCUAAAACUGCACGACGGUUUUUCUGAAAGUUAAUUGUAUAUCAGGAGGAUUUGAUUUGCCCAAAUAACAUCAAGUUUAGUCACUUUGGCCUGUUCCACACAGUGCCCCCACAGGAAAAAGUGAGAAUUGCUUUGAGUUAAAGGCACACAUUCAAUUUCUGUAGCCAGCUGAUGACCCAGCAUUGUUGGCUGUGUCCACAUCUCUUUACCAGGUACAGGGUGAGGCCUUUUAUCUUCUGAGAAGCACUGAUAUGCUUGUGCUUCUCUGUAUCAUGUACCUGUGUGCUGUGUUGGUGGGUGCCUAUAAUUGCCCUGUUUUGAAACACUCAUGCUAGGAAGUACUUCCAGAAUACCAGUACAGCUUUACUGUGAUUGACAGAGCCCACGAGAUGCGUUGGACUUGAAUAAAUCUGAUCAGAUGCUUAAAGAUAAGUAGGGUUUUGGGGCAUGUCUUAAACGCAGUUGAAGAUAAUAAUAUUCCUGUCUCACUUUUAAAAGCAAAAUCAAAAUGUUUUGGUCCUAAAGACUUUUUAAUGGCUGUUUUUUUUUUUUUUUUUUUUUUUUUUUUUUUUUUAAAAAAAAAAAAAGUAUAAGGAGAGUCUGUUCAGGUCCUUUUCCCAACAGCAAGGCUGGAAGGGGUGUUACUCUGGGAUUAUUUCAAGGUGGCUGGGAUGGGCUGUAAGCCUCACUACUAUGGAGUCCUUGACCUUGAAGAGUGAUUGAAAGCAGCAGCACAGGAGGAGAUUCUGUCCUGUUUCUGGUUUGGAUGGGUAUGAAGAGGCCUUUGGCAGAGAAGGGUGAAAGGUGACUAAUAAUGUGAAACUAGGAAGAAACUCAUUAUAGUUACGCAAUCUACAGGUGGUUGUCUUUCCCUGUAAAAUACAUCUUGUGUUAGUUGUCCCACUGGCGGCUGCUGCUCACGCUGUCCUCUGAAGAGAAGUGUUUAACAAUUCUUUCCUUUAGGUGGGAAGUUUUAAGUUAGCAUCAUAGCAAGGAGACCAUAGCACCGCAUUAUUUCUUUCUUCUCCCUCUCUACAAUGUCUUCUAGAUUUAGUUUGCCCUUUAUGUUAGGGCAAAUCCUACGCUGGGCUUUGUGCUGGAGUGGCUGCUGUACAGGCAGGCAUUUACACCCCCUGACCCUGGUACAGGGCAGUAUCCUCCAGAAGAGCAGCUUGCUGGAGGUGAUUUAAACUGCUGGAGCAAAUGUGUGUGGAGCUUUCCCAGGAGAACCCUUACAUUCCUAAUUAGCAUGCCUGUUUUUCCAGUGAAAUGCACUGAAUGGCUCCCCCAUUGACCUGAUCUGGACCUUGAUCUUCCAUUUUACAAGUAAAACAACAAAUUAGGUGUUGCUGUAAAGGUACUCCCAGGAACUGAUUCUCCUCUCCUCAUCAUCUGUAAAACAGUUGCAAAAAUACGGCCCUGUACCUCCCCAAUUCUGCAUUCACUCAUCUCCGAGAUACCGUGUUUCAGUCUGAAAUAAGAUUCUAGACCAGAAAAAGGGUUAGACUGCAUACAGAUUAACAAAUCUGUUGCUAGUAUCUCUGGCUACUGCAGCAUGACUCACCCAUCAGUGCUUGUCAGUGUCUGGUGUGACCUCAUUGAAAGCUUCAACAUCUUAUAUGUGAAGGUAGGUUGUAAUCCAGUGUGGGAAUCCUAAAGAGGUGGAGAGACUGUGGAAAUGCAUACAUCACGAACAUUCUCCUUAGAAAUCAGAUCUGCCCUCACCAGAAAUUACCAUUAAAAACCUUGCAUAUUCCUGAGGAUCUUUAAAUGUGAAGGCUGCCUUUCCUGUGCCUCUAUUAAAAAGCACCUGUAACUGUUCAAGACAGAAAUUAGUGCUGAUGGGGAAAUGUAAGGGUAGCUGGGACAGGGAGGAGAUGCUCCUUUAUUUGCAAGGGUGAGCUGAUGGUUCCUUUUUGUUUGCUGUGGCUUCUACUUAACUCCUUAUUUUUUUCUGUGUCAGUACUUAGGGUUUCCAGCAGGCUGGUUGAGGAGACAGGGGCUGUUACACACUAGCAGAUACUAGCAAUGCUCCUCAGUCUACACGGAGCCAGCUGCUGGCAUUUGGAUUGCAGAACCCACAUCUAGUAACAGACACAGCAGAAGCUAUCGUCCUCUUGCCUGCUGCAAAGGGGACUUUCGGUCUCUAAAAGCACAAGGCUGAUGCUGUCCCACAGCUCUGCUGCCACCUGAGCGUCUGGCUGAAAGCAAAGUCCCUGGUCCGGUUGUUGUCCUUCAUGCACGUCAGAAAGAUGCUCUGCUUUAAAGCUGUGCUGUCCUGGCAACGCUAAGGGAUCUUCCACUUCAGGAGUGCCACGGAGCUGCUUUGUCACAAACUGGUGGAUGGUGGUAUUAUUUCUGCAUUCCUUAAAUUUCUUUCUUGAGACUGGGAACAUGGAUUCUCUUGGCAAAGAUUGUGUUCUGGGAGGAUUUGUUUCACGUUAUGGUACUUCUUUAAGGAAGGCGUAGAAGGAUUUGGAGUUGAUGCAUGCAUGGGAUUUGUAGGGAAGAAAUCAGCAACCUUAUGCCUUUGGACCCGUGAUUCCUUACCACCAGGAUCAGCCAGGUACUACAGCUGCCUGCCCAGCUGCUUUGUGAUUCUAGAGUGAAAUAAGUUGAUGUCUCUGCCCACUUCCUAGUGCCAAGAUGUGUGUGCACUACAAAAUACAGCUAGUCCUAGAAAUGAAUCUAUUUGCUGUUCUUUGCACAGAGGCCAAAGGCUGAAUGAUGUUUUGAGGCUGAGUGUUCCUUCCCUGGAUGAUCCGAUGGACACGCAGCAUGAUUUACUUGUGGGCAGGAGAUGGAGAGCCCAUAGCAAUGUUGUCCAUGCUGUAUGCACCCACGGGCGUGUUGGUUUAACUGAUUGGUUCAGUAUUUGUUGUUCUAUUGCUUGAUUCACUUAUUGAUUACUUUUUCUUUGUUCUUGGAAGACGUUUCUUUCACAUAUUAAAGCGUACCCAGGGUUCCAGCAGCCUCCUGUUCUUCCCUCAAGCUCAAACCUCGUUGCUGCUCCCUGUGUGCCGUUGGAAAUGGGCAGGCACCAUUUGUGGCUGCCUGAAUAUCCUGAGUCACAGAUUACCAGCUGGCAUCCGUGCUGCAGUUUCAUUUCUUCCUUUACGACUGCACUCCCUAGAGGAGGCUUGAACAAUUGCAGUUGUCAGCUAGAGCGCAUUGUGUGCUCCUGCCUGAGUCGCACAAUUGGUGGACAACCUCUGACUACGUCUGUGGGGUGAGCCGCCUGUGAUUUGUUACUGUACAUCUGGUGUUUCCAUGCCAGAAAAUGGAACAGGUGUAGCAAUAUUCUAACUGCGUUUGCAUUAUAUUUACCAGCCAAAUACCUGCGUUGCGAAGAUGGCAAUCUGAUGUCUUCAUUAAAUAAUUGCUGGAGACAGGUGAUGAUUCUGGUAAUGCUCUAAAAGGAAGAUAAAUUGCGUGCGAAUGAAUGAAGUAUUAAGGACGUAGACAGGUGAUGAAAGGCAAACUGGUAACUCCCUACCCUGGCACAGCUCUGCUAGCAGUAACACGGGCACACCGUGCAGGUUAUUGGUUCUGUGUCACGCUGUGUUUGUUAUCCUGCCUGUGCAGCGUCCCAAAGCAAGGCUGCUGAAGCUCAGCAGGGAAAGAAUGCAACAUGUAACUGUGUUAUUCCAUCUCACACCAGUGUUUUCACUAGGUAAUGCUUACUGCUAGUCUUGUGCAUAGCUCUGGGGGAAGCUGAAACACAGAACACUUCACUGAGCCUUCUGAUCCAACAGGCCUUGACAUAUUGUUGCUGGACACAUCUGUGUCUGAACUGAGCUGCAGCUCCGUUGUGUCCUGAAAAAAAUAACAAUAUAUUAAACUUUAUUAUUCUGUCUGCGCCUUUGCCACAUAUUGACCAAAAAGUCAAUUUCUUACUAAACUAGUUUUAAUUUACAUGCUGUAAAAUUUUAUUAGUUAAUGGUCAGCUGAUAGGAGCAGGCUGUGGGUUGUGGUGUGAGAACAGAACUCUUGAGGAGAAUCUAGAAGACAGGGAGGGGGAAUGCAAGAUGGACCUUGAAGUCUGAGUUGAGGGCAUUCUGGUUCCUCUUCACUACAUGACGGGCUUGCACCAAGCGGGACAGUGAUAUUAACAGUCCUGCAUCUAUCUGGAGUGUCCUGGGAAGACACACACCACAGCUGAAGACAGCAGCAGUCCUAAGAGGGGUUUUCUGGGGAGGGAUGGCUGUCAGAUGUUUAAUAACUUGUGUAUAUGGUUACUCACUUGCUCCUCCUUUGUAUGUCUGACUCACCCAUCCCUGUCUGAACGCAGCAGUUCAGUAUUCUCUUUUAUCUCCCUUCAUUUAUCUCACACUUCCCAUCCUUCAAGCUUCCUUUUGUAUCUAGGGAUUUAAUUCUGUUAAAUCCAGUUGCUUUGGCCUCUGUUCUUGCCUGUGCUUUGCACCUGCCACGUAGCCCCAGCAAACUUGGCAAGCAAGCCUUAGGCACUGGAGAAAAAACAACUGUCUGGACCAGGCACCUCCUGCCUGGUGUCCUGGAUGUACCCCGAGCUCCUCGGCACCGUCUGCGGUCAGAACAGCGUGUUGCUGCGUGAGUGGUUCCUCCCUGGCCUCCCUUCUGCCCCCACAGAAUUACACGCACCCAACUUCUCAGCAGACACCAGCCUAAUGUUUAUUGAUCUCUCGCAGAGGUCUGAUGCAAAAGAUGGAUAAAAUCUCCUCGGGUGCCUUUGCGGGCUCCUAAUUGCACCGUUCGCCUCCUGGUGAGUAAGGCAAAUGGGAGCGAGGGAGCCCGCAGAAUGAAGAGCACCUUCUGCAGACCUACAGGCUGGAGGACAACGACGUGAAGACCCUGCAGAGCCUCUGGUUUCAUGCCUGGUGAUUUUUACCGUGCCGAAAAGGGAGGAAGGAGGUGACAGAACUGUGAAAAAUCGAGGCCGGGUCAUUCCUGCCAGAGGAGGACAGAGUCCUGCAGCCAGUCAGAUGUGACGGACCGCGCCUGCUGCUGCUGCUACCGGGAAGCUGGAGAGAAAUGCGACUGAACGGUAGCAGUGCGCAUGUGCCUCUGGAGAAAGGAGGCUAUCUGGCUGUCUUCGCACUGAGCUGUCACUGCAGCAGCAGCUAUGUGAGAUGGAGGACAGGUCCUCGGAUUUGCUUCGAGUCUGUGAAAUUGGAGCAAGCAAUCCAUAUUUUAUGCCAGAGGAUAUGUUUAUGCUCUACUCUAACAGCUCUUGAAAGCAGGUAUUUGCUACGGAGAUGCUGGAGCCAUCUGAACCAUCACAGCAGCAACGUUUCAGAUAAUGGGUGUUGGCAGUACUGUUUUGCCUGUACAGUGUGUUUACUGCGGGCCUGGUGAGGGAUACUUACAGAGCCCCUCUCGUCCGCUAGCUAGCCAGAAACAACAGAAAAGCCUGCUACAGGAUUGCUGUGGCUGUAAUUUGCAGUGUGCUACACGGUGCCCUGCAUUCACCACCCAUCUAGGUAUUAAACAAGUCCCCAUGCCUCCAGGGGUAAAAUGUUUUCCAGUGACACGUGAGUGCUUUGCUUGGCAGCCUGGUCUGGCACGUCACAGUUCUGAUGGGCUUCUCCCAGGCUUUGCAGCGUGGAGCUAAUACAUCAAAUACAGAUACUGCAAUAUAUCGCCCUUUGUCUUGCUGCCCCCAUAUCUGGGCUCAUCGGGACAUUUCCAGCAUCGCUUCCAGCACACCCAGCUCUGCAGUGCCUGCGUGUUGCACUCUACAUUCUUCUACUCCAGCACUAGGUGUCCCCAAGGCGCACGAAGGACUUUAUUUUUUUUUUUCAGUGUAAUCUAAGGGCAUGAACUCAGACAAGGAACUUCUCGAAAGCAGGUUCCAGCUGACAGAAAAGAGCUGAGGGGGGAUUCAGAGGUCUUCACCCUAACUCGCUCUCCUAGGCAGAGCUCCUCAGGAGCUGGCGUUGAGCUCCGCCGUGAAGAUUUAUUUUCACCUGCUUAGGAACACGAGAGAGCAGUGGAGAGAGAACUUGUGUUGCCAGCUUGUUUCUGCAUCGCUGUGGGAGCUGAAGCACCUCACCUUCCCGGUCAUUAUCCAGACCUUUAGCACAGUCAUUUCCGAGCGCUCGCUGCAGUACAGCUCUCACCGCAGCCUGCCGCUCCUUACCUUCAGCCAGAGUUGCUCCCUGGCCUGCCCUGCCCAGCUUGCAAAUGUGGCUCGUCAGCCUCUGCUUCUUUGCAAAUGAGUUGCGUAGGUACUGGGAGGAGGAGGCAGCUCAGCAGCCUGCCCAUCCCAUCCAGGUCCAGUCCCAAAGGCUCCUCGCUGCUUUCUGAAGUCCUUUGCCACAUGAAACGUGUGGGCAUCAAACUUUUGUUUCCCUAAAUGCUCAGCCUUUUGCAAACAGGAGGUCAUUUCCUGGGGGGAAGACAAGCUGUUGACGUGGUGGGCAGUCAGCUUGGAUCAGACCCAGAGCUGAUUAGCUUGGGCACAGCGGUGUGCUAACGCAGGCAGAACGCACCCAGCCCGGCUCCCAGCUAGGUGGCAGGGAUCUCCCCACGCUGCUCCCCGCUGUCCCCACGCAGCGUGAGCUUGGGUCCCUGUCCUCGCCUGUGCUGGCAUGCCUGCAGCAAACCACAAUCUGCACCCAGCGCUGCUCGCCUGCAUCUGUGAUGUGUCUCCUAAUGCAAACAGUGAUUUUUGCCUGUCUGCACUGAGUCAGCUCUGCUGAAGGCAGGAAUCGAACUAACCCCAGCCAGCGAAGGCUACAGUCUUAGCCCUGUGAGUCAGCAUUUCGAGAGCUUGGACGCUUUUAUAGCAGCAGUCGGUGAGAUGGUACCAGGUGUGUGGAGGGGUCAAAGUCUACCGCGAGCAGUGACUGACACAAUCCCCAGCCGAAGUCAGGCAGGGCCUCCUGUGCUCUCAGGUCCCAGAAGAGCAACCUGCUGACCGCAGGACGGCUUUUGCAGGAGCACCUUGGGAAGCUUGUGCUGAUUUCUGUGGUCCCUGUGAUGAUCCUAGGGUGUAGGAGGAGAUCAGAACUGUCUGAAACCCCAGAACCAGGAUUCUUGGAAAUCCAGGACAAGUAACAGUAAGAGGCCUGGCUGAGGCUGACCACUAGCCUGCCUCUCGUGCUCCCUUUAUACGUGUCCAGGAAGCAGCCUCCAGUUUAUACGAUUGCACUCUAGUAAACAAUUUUUCAUGCAGAUAUGGGCAGCAGAUGUUACUCAUGCCUGUGUGAACACUUCAAUGUGUUUACAACAGGGGACAUUCCUCAGAUCCAGCCCUAUUAAACAAUGGAUGUAGCCACCAGAAUGAAGUCCCACUGGUUAAAGCCCUUCUGUUACAGCUUGCUCCGAACACUUUGAAGGGUGGUCACACCAUCCUCGGGCGCUCGAGGGGAUUGACUCAACAAAUAUGAGCAAAAUAAAAUUAGCUGGCUGAAGCGGCUGCAGCCCCAGCUGUGUCCCCACUGCCCAAUUCCCAGAAGGGGUCAUCCCUGCUGCAGGGCUGGCUCUGCAAGGCUGGAGCUGGAAGUCUCUGGAGCUGCAGCCCAUUCUUAAGGGCAUUAAUGUUUGUCUGGCUCCCCAGUGAAACAGGCCAGGAAGUUUAACCAGAAGAAAAAUGUACACUUCUUCAUCUGAGGAAUUCUGUUUGUUUAAUUUCUCAGAUGGCCUCACCCAGGAUCAGAGAAGCUCCAGUGCUGCUUCACGGGCAGGGCAGAGGCAGGCAGGCAGAGGGAGGGAUGACCUUCCCUUCUGGGAGCAGCUAACCAUUACAUGAGGUUUGCUGUCUCACAAAAUUAUGCCCUAUGGAUAUUUUGGGUGCUGGGCUGCCUUAAUUUUCUUGAAAGAUUAACAGUGUGUGCUUAUGGCAUUUGUAAGUUGUGGUUUUUUUUUUUUUUUUCUUUCAUUUUAAAUCUACUUCAGCAUGUGUUAUUAUGUAGAAAUGUGUAAAUUAUUAGGGAUAGGAAAGAUAAGUGUCCGCAGUGUCCAUUCCUACAAUUCUGCUAAGGACUAAAUGUUUUUUUUGUUGUUGCCUUUUAAGACCUCGAAGCCACAGCUUGCUAUCAAACUGUCUCUAGAGGGUGAAGUCUUUAAAGAGACUGUAUAUAAAUAAUAUACACAGUAAAGUACAAAAAUGGAGUCAAGGAAAGGCCCCCCUACCUGGAUGCAAUUGUCAAUGGCAGUGUUCUGAGCUCGGUGAGGACAGCCGUACCCCUGGUCAAGCAGAAGCUGCAAGGAGCACUGUCACCCCCAUGAUCCAUCCUAAAUAACCUCUACUUCUAGAUCUGAGUCUUCCUCCAGCAUUUAAAUAUCAGCUGGUGACUUGUGACCAUAUUGUACUGAUUGAAAUGGUAUUGUUAUAAACAUAACUGGAACUAUCCUCUCUUUUACUUUGUUAGGUUGGGUGUAUUAGAAUAUAGGGCUCUUGGCAAGUUUGGAUCCUUGCUAGAAACGAAAACAUUAUGGCAAAAAAAGGUAGGUAAAUGCUGAACAUGCUUUGUAUAAGAGUCCUUCUCAGUAUCUGUGCAUACAGUAAUUUUGAUGUUUCCCAGUUUUGAGCUUUAAACAGGAGACACUUCGUGGAUGAAUUUCAUAGUUUCAAGGUUUCAACUUACCCUAAACAUUUAAUGAAAAUUAAAUGCAGUGCCUUAAAGAGGGUUGCCUGUGAGAGGAAAUCAUUUAUUCUUAGGAAAUCAUUGGAGUAGCUUCUAAGCUUAACUGCGUCUUCAUAUGAAUUAAAAAAUCACCUCAGGUCUGUCCAGGAAAACUUUCUCAUGAGCUCUGUAGCAGUUGAUUCAUUCCUUGCUGCCUUCAUUUUGCAGCGUUAAAUGGCAGGCUCUCUGAAAAGCCAUACACUUCAAAGCUUUAUAAAAUAGCCUUCUGAGUUCGAGCUAGAAAUUAUGCUGGCUCUGCCCAGCGUUGUGCCUGGAUGUGGGAAUGCUUGGCAGUGGGUGUGGAAUUCCAAGGCAAAUUACCUCUUUCCUUCGCAAGAGACCCUGCUGACUUGCCAAACUCAGCAGCAAGGAGGGAAACCGCUGCAGAUGAGGAAGCGUGGAAGUCUCCUGUUUCUUUUCCACAGCUCCAGAGAACACCUCCCACCCAGCUGCACGUGUUAUAUAGCUGGUGCAGCGCUGCGCUAGCGAGGGCAGGGUGCUUGGUGUCACUCGGAACAAAGUCGGCUUGAAAGGAGAGCAUGAAAUAGCCCGACAAUGAGAAAUUUGUGCCUGCCCUUAAUAGAAAGCGCAGCGUCUGAGGACUACGUGUCCCAGCAUGGCACGCAGACGUCAGGGCACGGAGCAGUGCUGCAUGCUGGAACUUGUAGUGCAUGAAAAGACAUCUCGGCACUAAGCAGGGUGUGCGGGGUGCCCGUGCUUCCUUUGCCAGCUUUAGAUGGUUAAUGUAAAACUGACAACACAGCGCUUCUAAGAAACAGAAGACUUGCUUCACCUUUCAUGUACGUGCAACACGCUGCCCUUUGUAUUUAGAUUUCUGCUGUCUGUGUGUGCAGCUGAUUUGUCCGUAAUUGUUUGCUUUCUCCGGAGUCUUUUGAAGCCUGUCUUCAAGCCAGUUCCCUAUAUUAAAAAUAAAUUCUUCCAAGCCACCAAUAAAAUGUCAACUGUGAUUAAAGCCUGA